GUGUGCCAAUCAUUAGGCUUCAGUCUAAGGAUUCAGUUGAGGAGUUCCUCAAAAAGGACAUGACCUUUGUUAUUGGUCUAUUCAAGAAUUUUGAGGGAGCAGACCAUGAAGAAUUUGUGAAGACAGCAACCACAGACAACGAGGUACAGUUAAAUUUAUUCUCUUGCAAAUUUGUUCUAGAUCUUCACCUUUGCAGAGGCUUAUGAUUUUGAAGAUCUGGAAUCUAUGGUUGAAGAAAUAGGCAGAGCAUUCAAGACAAAGAUAAUGUUUAUAUAUGUUGACACUGCUGAAGAAAACCUUGCAAAACCAUUCCUCACUCUUUAUGGCCUUGAAUCAG